CAGCAGUCGCCGCGGGAAUACAGAGGGUGCGAGCGUUAAUCGGAUUUACUGGGCGUAAAGCGUGCGUAGGCGGCUUCUUAAGUCGGAUGUGAAAUCCCUGAGCUUAACUUAGGAAUUGCAUUCGAUACUGGGAAGCUAGAGUAUGGGAGAGGAUGGUAGAAUUCCAGGUGUAGCGGUGAAAUGCGUAGAGAUCUGGAGGAAUACCGAUGGCGAAGGCAGCCAUCUGGCCUAAUACUGACGCUGAGGUACGAAAGCAUGGGGAGCAAACAGGAUUAGAUACCCCGGUAGUCCCUGUCUCUUAUAA
rnacentral:rRNA from 1 species